UACAUAGGGUGCGAGCGUUGUCCGGAAUUAUUGGGCGUAAAGGGCUCGUAGGCGGUCUGUCACGUCGAAAGUGAAAACUCAGGGCUCAACCCUGAGCCUGCUUCCGAUACGGGCAGACUAGAGGUAUGCAGGGGAGAAUGGAAUUCCUGGUGUAGCGGUGAAAUGCGCAGAUAUCAGGAGGAACACCAGUGGCGAAGGCGGUUCUCUGGGCAUUACCUGACGCUGAGGAGCGAAAGCGUGGGGAGCGAACAGG
rnacentral:rRNA from 1 species